rnacentral:rRNA from 1 species
UACGUAGGGUGCGAGCGUUAAUCGGAAUUACUGGGCGUAAAGCGUGCGCAGGCGGUUGGUUAAGUCUGAUGUGAAAGCCCCGGGCUCAACUUGGGAAUGGCAUUGGAAACUGGCUGGCUAGAGUGUGGCAGAGGGGGGUGGAAUUCCGCGUGUAGCAGUGAAAUGCGUAGAGAUGCGGAGGAACACCGAUGGCGAAGGCAGCCCCCUGGGCUAGCACUGACGCUCAUGCACGAAAGCGUGGGGAGCAAACAGG